rnacentral:lncRNA from 1 species
GCCUCUACUAUUACUAUGCAAGACGAAAAGAGGAUUUGCCAAUCAAUCAAUUCAAACUAAUGUGUAGGAACCUGACCUCAUUGAACUGAAUGUGCAUCCUUCCCGCAUUUGAAGACGGACUAAUGUUGUGCAGCCAAAUCAUUCGUAAUGUCCUCCAAAUCAGUUUCUCGAGUUUUUUCCCCUUUUUUUCCCCAGUUAACAACAUGAUGCUAGAGUGAACAGCAAUUAUAGAUCAUCUGUCUUCGGAUAUAACUUUCAUUUUGUGGUGUAAAAGUAAUCUUGUGUCUUUCUUAGUAUGUACAUAUUGCUAAAUCAUUCUCAAUGUCCUCUAUAUCAGUUUCCACUUAUGUUAUUGACAAAUCAUUCUCUAUGUUCUCUAAUUUUAGUUGUCGAGUUUUCUCCCCCAUCUUCCAUGACACAACAAUAGCAGUUCAUCGAGAAAUUCAUAUAUUAAGCUCAAAUGAUAAAAGUCUUGGAUAAUAAUCUACAACGCACUAGAACGCCCUUGUUGACAUCCUUUACUCCGACAGCAUCUGGGGUUCCUUGAACAAUGUGAUAUCUCAUCCCAGGUAAAUCCUUAACCCUUUCCCCUCUUACUAAGACUAUAGAAUGUUCUUGUCCAAUUUAUUUGCUUUUAGAAGGCUUAUGUAUAGAGCCAAGCCAUUGUUAACAGUAUGAUAUUUUAGUUAAUAAUAUGACGAGGAAAAGAAAAGCUUCUACCAUAUAACUUUACACUUAAUAUAGUUUAAGAUACUUCUAUUAUAUGAGCUAAAAACCAAGGGAGUGAAUUUGUACAAAUUGUGCAUCUAAUGUGGAUUGUGGAUAUGCAAUGUAACUGUAUUGUGCCCCUUUGCUUUCUUGCGAAAUCAAUGAAAUAUUAGUCGUGUUUCUCAAACUUAGAUUUUAAUGUCAAUCUCCUCUUUAACAUGAGGAAACGUAAUUAUAGGAAAAUUAUAUUGUUCAGAUAAAUCUUUUUCUUUUUCUUUUUUUAUUACGGUAUUCUCAGAUUUGUUGUUCAUUCAAAGGGGCAGCUCGAUAAAGAAAGUAUUCCGCCGCAUGUACGCAGGGUUGGGGAAGGGCCACAAACUUCAGGGUGUGACGUACACAACUUACCCUAAUUAAGGCAAAUGCCUUAUCAUGUAGUAGCAGCAGGUUCAAGCUAGAUCUGUUUGGCUUCUCAAUGUAUCUUUAGGAAACAUAAUGAAGUUACUGUUUCGCAAAGCUUCAAAGUACAUGAUUGUAUGAAUAACGUACAAGACGUAGAAGGCAGCCCCAGCUUGGCGAAUCUCAUCCCCGCUUAACGAAUUGGAUUGCCUACCUCCUAUCAUUUUCCGUUUCAUGUUUAGAAUACGUUUGACUGCUUUUUGUUUUAUCAUAAUGGCACCACGUGUAAAGAGCUUAA